rnacentral:rRNA from 1 species
AAACGUAGGGGGCGAGCGUUGUCCGGAAUUAUUGGGCGUAAAGCGCGUGUAGGCGGAAGCUUAAGUCAGGUGUGAAAACUCGGGGCUCAACCCCGAGCCUGCAUCUGAAACUGGGUUUCUUGAGGACGGGAGAGGAAAGUGGAAUUCCUAGUGUAGCGGUGAAAUGCGUAGAUAUUAGGAGGAACACCAGUGGCGAAGGCGACUUUCUGGACCGUAACUGACGCUGAGACGCGAAAGCGUGGGGAGCAAACAGGAUUAGAUACCCUGGUAGUCCACGCCGUAAACGAUGGGUACUAGGUGUAGGACGUAUCGACCCCUUCUGUGCCGCAGCUAACGCAUUAAGUACCCCGCCUGGGGAGUACGGCCGCAAGGUUGAA